rnacentral:rRNA from 1 species
CUUUCUUUGCUGGCGACCGGCGCACGGGUGAGUAACACGUAUCCAACCUGCCCUUUACUCGGGGAUAGCCUUUCGAAAGAAAGAUUAAUACCCGAUAGCAUAAUGAUUCCGCAUGGUUUCAUUAUUAAAGGAUUCCGGUAAGGAUGGGGAUGCGUUCCAUUAGGUUGUUGUGAGGUAACGGCCCACCAAGCCUUCGAUGGAUAGGGGUUCUGAGAGGAAGGUCCCCCACAUUGGAACUGAGACACGGUCCAA